rnacentral:lncRNA from 1 species
GAUAUAAAGAUGGCACCAUAUUGAAGUCGCCAGAUAUCAAAAGCACAAAGCUAUUACAUGGCUGAGCAUGAUUUAUCUAAUUUUCAAAUAUCUUGGAUGUAUACGAUAGUUCGUAGAUAUACUUUUUAGUUCUCCGAUCUCUGAUAUAUGGCUGAGCAUAUGCUUUUUCUCUUAUCUGCUGUACAUCAGAUUGUAAAAUUAAGAAAAAUUCAUUCUCUUCAGCAAAAGUUUUUAAGUUUUGUUUUUCAAAAAUCUCAUAUCAUUUUGAACCAUUUUGUAAAAUCAAUCUGAUCCCUUUCGCUCUACAUCACAAUCCUGCCGUAAAUAAUCAAGCAAGUGAGCAUGCAAGGGCGGGCAACACCGGACAAGAGUUUUCUGAAGCACCAAAGAGGCGCAGAGUCGAUAACAGCUAACGCCAAUUUCCUCAACAGUUUUUUGGGAUUUUUAUUUUUAUUUUUUAACAUAUUUUCCGGCUGUUGCUGAGCACCGCUGAUCAGUGUAUAUUUGGGGUCCGCGAUUCUGAUUUUCUCUUGUUGCUGCGCACCGUCGACUAGUGUAUAUUAUUCUAUAUCUAUAUCUAUAUAUAUAUUUGAUCUUGAUAGCCCCGACGCAUGCUUGUGUUGGAUAUUCUUUCAAUCUUCUGUAAUUUUUUUAUCUUUUUUUCCUAUUUCUUUUUCUUCUUGGAAGAGGCUUCCGCUGUGGACACGUGAAGCUUUUUAUUUCAUGCUUCGCAUUGUUAAGUGUUGCAGAUUAAUUUGUAUAUAUACUUAUUCACAAUGCUUGGUGUAUCUGCGUAGUCAUUCUUAUGGCAGGUAGGUUUGUUUAUUUAUUGGUGGCGCAUUUGUUUAGUCAUUCUAAACUGUUGUGCCUUCGCCCAUUUUCGUGUCCAAACUAACUGGCAAUAUGAAAUUUUCACCUUUUUUGUUUGUCCUUAUUAGUACAAGUU